AUUGAACGCUGGCGGCAGGCCUAACACAUGCAAGUCGAACGAGUGGCGGACGGGUGAGUAAUGUCUGGGAAACUGCCUGAUGGAGGGGGAUAACUACUGGAAACGGUAGCUAAUACCGCAUACCAUCAGAUGUGCCCCGAUGGGAUUAGCUAGUUGGUGGGGUAAAGGCUCACCAAGGCGACGAUCCCUAGCUGGUCUGAGAGGAUGACCAGCCAAGCUGAAACUGAGACACGGUCCAGACUCCUAGGGGAUGCAGCAGUGGGGAAUAUUGCACAAUGGGGUCAAGCUUGAUGCAGCCAGGCCGCGUGUAUGAAGAAGGCCUUCGGUUUGUAAAGUACUUUCAGCGGGGAGGCGUUACCCGCAGAAGAAGCACCGGCUAACUCCGUGCCAGCCGCCGCGGUAAUU
rnacentral:rRNA from 1 species